rnacentral:lncRNA from 1 species
UUUUUUUUUUAUCUUUUAUUUGUUUUUCAAUAGUCAGGAUUUUACAAUACCCCUACAAUCACCACCUGACUAUGGUUUUUGGGGUAAAUAUUGAAAGUUAUAUACAAGACUAUCCAUUUUGUUUUUUUAAAUUUAUCUUCAUAAUACAAGAAUAUAGUUAUUAAAGAAAAAAAAAAGAAUAGCUGCUCACACUCACACUUUCUCUCACUACUUACACACAGUCGCUGCAAUCUUACCAUUUAGUAUGCAUGCAUGUCUAUAUAUAAAGUAAAAAUUCAAAAUACCACUGCUCACUAUAGUAUAAUUUAAAGUAUAAAUGAUAAUAAAUCAUGAAAAAAUUGUAUGUAGUGGGGACCAGAAUCUUUCAUAAGAUGCUGCCC